rnacentral:rRNA from 1 species
GAUGAACGCUGGCGGCGUGCUUAACACAUGCAAGUCGAGCGCCGUAGCAAUACGGAGCGGCAGACGGGAGAGUAACGCGUGGGAAUCUGCCCUUUGGUUCGGAAUAACAGCUGGAAACGGCUGCUAAUACCGGAUGAUGACGAGAGUCCAAAGAUUUAUCGCCAGAGGAUGAGCCCGCGUUGGAGUAGGUAGUUGGUGGGGUAAAGGCCUACCAAGCCGACGAUCCAUAGCUGGUCUGAGAGGAUGAUCAGCCACACUGGGACUGAGACACGGCCCAGACUCCUACGGGAGGCAGCAGUGGGGAAUAUUGGACAAUGGGCGCAAGCCUGAUCCAGCAAUGCCGCGUGAGUGAUGAAGGCCCUAGGGUUGUAAAGCUCUUUUACCCGGGAAGAUAAUGACUGUACCGGGAGAAUAAGCCCCGGCUAACUCCGUGCCAGCCGCCGCAGUAACAC